rnacentral:rRNA from 1 species
AGAGUUUGAUCAUGGCUCAGAUUGAACGCUGGCGGCAUGCUUAAUACAUGCAAGUCGAACGGUAACAGAUUCUUCGGAAUGCUGACGAGUGGCGGACGGGUGAGUAAUACAUAGGAAUCUGCCCAUGUAGUGGGGGACAACUUGGGGAAACUCAAGCUAAUACCGCAUAAUUCCUACGGGAUAAAGAGGGCCACUGCUUGCAAGCUCUUGCUACUGGAUGAGCCUAUGUCGGAUUAGUUAGUUGGUAAGGUAAUGGCUUACCAAGACAGCGAUCCGUAGCUGGUUUGAGAGGAUGAUCAGCCACACUGGGACUGAGACACGGCCCAGACUCCUACGGGAGGCAGCAGUAGGGAGUAUUGGACAAUGGGCGCAAGCCUGAUCCAGCAAUGCCGCGUGUGUGAAGAAGGCCUGCGGGUUAUAAAGCACUUUCAAUUGGGAAGAAAGAUUAUGAGUUAAUACCUUAUAAUAUUGACG